GACGAACGCUGGCGGCGUGCCUAAUACAUGCAAGUAGAACGCUGAAGGAGGAGCUUGCUCUUCUGGAUGAGUUGCGAACGGGUGAGUAACGCGUAGGUAACCUGCCUGGUAGCGGGGGAUAACUAUUGGAAACGAUAGCUAAUACCGCAUAACAUUGACUAUUGCAUGAUAGUCAAUUGAAAGGUGCAAAUGCACCACUAUCAGAUGGACCUGCGUUGUAUUAGCUAGUUGGUGGGGUAACGGCUCACCAAGGCGACGAUACAUAGCCGACCUGAGAGGGUGAUCGGCCACACUGGGACUGAGACACGGCCCAGACUCCUACGGGAGGCAGCAGUAGGGAAUCUUCGGCAAUGGACGGAAGUCUGACCGAGCAACGCCGCGUGAGUGAAGAAGGUUUUCGGAUCGUAAAGCUCUGUUGUAAGAGAAGAACGAGUGUGAGAGUGGAAAGUUCACACUGGGACGUAUCUACCAGAAA
rnacentral:rRNA from 1 species